GGGCUGAUAGUGCUUGUUUGGACAU
rnacentral:misc_RNA from 1 species